UUAGUUACUUUUUGCUGCUCCUUUCUUCUUUGGUAACCUAGUUUCUCUCAUCUUUCUCACCCUCGCUCUUUCUUUGUUUCCCUCGUUAACCUCUGUCACCCAUCGUUUCCACGCAUUGUCAUGGCUCGUCGUCGUUGUCACCACCGUCCCGGCUGGUCGCCACCGUCACGGCUCGCCAUAGUUGUUGUCACUUGAAACCCAAAUGACGCGCUGUCAGCGUUGUUGUAGGUAUGGUUUCGUGCAUUUGCACUAUUGCACCGUGGCGGUUCACGACAGGCAUGACAGACAUCUAUUUUUGCCUUUCCUUUUAGAAACCCUAUUUAGUUUUAUUUUAGGUACUGCUUGUUUCUCUGUCAUACCACAUUGUUGCUAGUGUUGCUUGUUUCUCUGCUUGUAUUUCUCUGGUUGAAUGGGGAGGGAACCUUUGCGGAAGUGAAAUUCGCUCAGAACACAGGAACUGGCGAGAUCGUGGCCAUGAAGGUGCUCGAUAGAAGCACCAUCAUCAAGCACAAGAUGGUCGACCAGAUCAAGAGGGAGAUUUCGAUCAUGAAGCUAGUUAGGCACCCUGAUGUUGUUCGCCUGCACGAGGUUCUUGCAAGCCGUACUAAGCUUUAUAUUAUAUUGGAGUUCAUCACGGGUGGUGAGUUGUUUGAUAAAAUUAUACACCAUGGACGCCUUAGUGAAGCUGACUCUAGAAGAUAUUUCCAACAGCUUAUUGACGGUGUAGAUUAUUGCCACAGUAAGGGAGUUUAUCACAGAGAUUUAAAGCCUGAAAAUCUUUUACUUGAUUCACUAGGAAAUAUAAAGAUUUUCGAUUUUGGUUUGAGUGCAUUUCCUGAGCAGGGGGUGAGUAUCCUUCGGACAACUUGUGGGACUCCGAACUAUGUGGCUCCUAAGGUACUCAGUCAUAAGAGUUACAAUGGUGCUGUGGCAGAUGUUUGGUCCUGUGGGGUUAUCCUCUUUCUCCUACUGGCUGGAUAUCUUCCUUUUGAUGAGCUUGAUCUAACCACCUUAUAUAGUAAGAUUGAGAGAACAGAGUUUUCAUGCCCUCUUUGGUAUCCAGUGGGAGCAAAAAUGUUGAUAUAUAGAAUUUUGGACCCAAAUCCUGAAACUAUUGAGACAUUCACAAAAGUUGGACAAUUGGAAAAGGCCAGUGAUGCUGAAGAGUAUUCAAGUUGACGGUUCAAAUAGAGGCACUGGUCUGAGUUCUCCUAUUCCUUUUCCAGCACGUCCUCAAAGAAUUUCUACUGGAAGAGAAUUAUUCUACCAGAUCGCCUCUCUCGACGAGCACUAAACCAAGGAUAGCUACACUAUCAAGCAACACCAUGAUAUUUUCUCUGGUUUGGAUCUCUUCCCAUUGAUUUAAAAUAGUGCUCAUUGGUUAUAUAUCUUGAUAUUUAUUUGUUUUAUAUUGACAUAUUGAUGGGUUUGGCAACGGAAAAGUAGUUUCAGAGGAAUGUAUCUUUUGGAAUGAAACCUUUUUCCUCAGUUUUGUAUUGCUAAUGUCUAACUCUCCACAAAAUUUCAUAGUCAUUGAACUUCUAGAACUCAUUUUAGAACCUUGAGUUCACUUUUAACUAAAGUUAAUGCACUUUAAGGCCUUUAAAAGCUUAGAUUAAACCAGUUCCUACAAUCUUGUUUUUAGGCAUAGAAAAUCUGUUUUUAGGAUUUAAGAAUUUUCUCCCAAAGAAUCUUAGAGUUAGCCUUAAAUUACCGAAGUAAGGACUACACUAUAGUGGACUAUAUGUGCCCUUCAAUACAUAUAAAGAAUAAGUUAAAUUUCUAUUUGACAUAGACCAGAAAGUAAAAGUAGCGAUUGAGACAAGAAGCCAGUGGCAUUGAACGAGCCAGUCAUUGCCUUGGUGAAGCAUUUCUUUGAAAACAAGAAGCCAGUGGCAUCUAUCUGUCAUGGCCAACAGAUUUUAUCUGCUGAUGGUGUUCUAAAGGUAUUAUUACUGUAAACUCAAAAGGAACACUGUUUGUUAUGUUUCACAUAUGCUAUCAACCAGUAUUUGAAUUGAAUGGCUAUUGAUAUAGUUUGUCAAAAAAAAGUUGAGGUAAUCUUGAAGUAGAUAUUUUACUACUGUUUUCUUAGAACUCAUGUUCAUUCUACACUUGUUUCUAUUAGUCUUUCCUGUCAAGAAUUGUUUUGUACCAACUAAGAAGACAAAAUUCUUUUGAAUUGUUGGGCUACAAAGCUGUAACUAAUAAGGUUGAGCAAGUACGAAGUUAUCACUUAUCAUUUACUGGAUUACAGUCAUUUCCUUGAAUAAGUCAUGAGCACUUGUUCUAAUUUUGUUUUCCCCGGCUUUUGUCCCCAAAUCACACAUAUUCUGUGCAGGCUUACUUUCUAAUUAGUCUGGAUUAAUGAAAUCUAUGUAUGCAGCCAGCUUUUGUGUGACUUUGUCUCAUGGUGUAUUUUGUGUUCAUGAAAUCAUUACUUUUGUUACUCAGGUUUAUUCUUAUCUUAGCUCUUUCUCACUUAGGCAGUCUUCUAGCUUUUGUAUACCUUGUUUGCUUGCUCGGAUAAUUGGAUUGUAAUCCUUAGUUCCUUGCCCUCUGUCUCCCAUCAAGGAACAUAAAGACUGAUAAUACGUAGAAUUAAGCAUAAAGAAAUUAAAUAUAUGUGGAACAUGACCAAAGAAACAUUGUGUUUUUUAUUUUUCUCAUAAUUGUUUGAUCGCUUCUAAUUCUCCAUCUAUAAUGAAUUGAUUAAAAUCUUUGGUCAUGGGUGCAUCUCUAGAUUAAUUCUACUGUCUCUUGAAAUGCUUAAUGGAUUAUUGAAUUCUAUUAUGAAUAUAUGGAUGGUAUGAUUAGUGAUGAGAUAUUGUAUAUUUUGAUACAAAAUCUGAGACAUUAUUGUUCUUAAACCAGGUAUGUUGGAUUGGGAGAAAAAGAUGAUGACAAGUGUUUUACUACUUUGUUAAGUCAGAAAAUGAUCGUCUUAUGCUUUGGCUAACCGGUGGUCCUGGCUGCUCUUCAUUUUCAGGUCUUGCCUUUCAAAUAGCCCUAUGGAAGAAGCUUGAAGACUCACCCUCUCUUUCAUUGAAAUUCCAAUAUAAUAUGAAUCUUUUGGCAUUCAUUGGAAAAGAUAAGGACCCUAUCUUCUACUCCAAGGAGGCAACGAUCAACGAGUACACAAACAUAACCCUUUUUUAUUACGAUAAUUUGUAAUGCACUAUCGUUCAUGCAUAACACUUUUGUAGGAGAAGUUUGUGCUGCAGGCUCCCGCGUACUUGUUCAGGAAGGGAUCUAUGAUGAAUUUGAGAAGAGGUUGGCAGAGAAGGCAAAAGCUUGGGUUGUUGGGGAUCCCUUUGAUCCUAAUGUUCAGCAAGGGCCUCAGGUUGACAAAAAGCAAUUUGAAAAAAAUUCUUUCCUACAUCGAGCAUGGAAAAAGAGAAGAGGCCACCCUUUUGACAGGGGGCAAAAGAGUGGGUAACAAGGGUUACUACAUUGAGCCAACAAUUUUCUCCAAUGUUAAGGAGGACAUGCUUAUAGCACAAGAUGAAAUAUUCGGUCCUAUGAUAGCACUGAUGAAGUUUAAGAUGAUGGAGAAAUUGAAGGAGAUGUGAAUCAUCACAUUCAAGCAGGAUGAAUGAAAUGGAGAAAUGCAUCGGGGGUGUUAUGUGAUGCAAAUGUACCGAUCAAGCUAAAGGGAAAGUUUUAUCGGACUGCGGUAAGACCGGCAAUUUUGUACGGAACAGAAUGUU